rnacentral:rRNA from 1 species
UACGUAGGGGGCAAGCGUUGUCCGGAUUUAUUGGGUUUAAAGGGUGCGUAGGCGGUUUUUUAAGUCAGUGGUGAAAUACGGCAGCUCAACUGUCAAGGUGCCAUUGAUACUGGGAAACUUGAGUACUGAUGAGGUAGGCGGAAUGGACGGUGUAGCGGAUGAAAUGCUUAGAUAUCGUCCAGAACACCGAUAGCGAAGGCAGCUUACUAAGGAGUAACUGACGCUGAGGCACGAAAAGUGUGGGGGAUCAAACAGG